GGUACAAUUGCCUACACUUGAGCCCCUGAUUUGACAGCUCUGCUGUACUUCAGUCUAUUCGAGAACGAAAGAUCUCAGAGUUCACAGGAGUCUUGCUGUGAACUGCGCUUCAGGCCCUAUGCCUUAUUUCUACAACUGGUGUCUUGUUUCAUGUUGCAAGCCCCCAUAUAUGCUAACUGCUUAGUUUCCUUUCCAGUCUCCCAUUUUUCCUCUUCUAAAUUGGCUUGUGAUAGUUCAUCAUCAUUGGCAAUCUGACAGGAUUCAGAGUCACCUAGGAGAUUGGUAUUUCAUCUGGACUUAAACAUUGACCCCUGGAGGGAGGGUCACAUGACUCAGGAAGCCAAUGGGACUUACCAGGGAUCAGAAGGCUUUCUAAAUGUACAAGGUUCUCAAAUCCCCUCAAGAUUAUAUAAGCAAUAAACAAUUGCUGAAGGAGCAGAGAGUCUUUCAUGGAGCUGCCUUCAAAUUAGGCACAGAACUCUAGGGAUGUGACAUUGAGGAAGAUCUGCUUUGAGUAUAGUGACUCCAUAUUGUGUGCUGGUACUUAAGUGGAAUGAAAGGGAAAAGGAGAAGCCGUCAAGCUCUCGUCUGUGAAGAGUUAUGUGAAGAGGCCAGAGAGAAGGCUCAUUUGGGAAGGUGCUGGACACACAAGCAUGAGGACCACAGUUUGGAUCAUCCAUGGGCGUCACCAUUUGCUGGUCAUCGUAGUCCUGGGUGUGCAGCAUAUAGAUA